UACAGAGGUCCCAAUCGUUGUUCGGAUUCACUGGGCGUAAAGGGUGCGCAGGUGGUCGGGUAAGUCUGAUGUGAAAUCCCGCAGCUUAACUGCGGAAUGGCAUUGGAUACUAUUCGGCUAGAGGGUUGGAGGGGGGACUGGAAUUCUCGGUGUAGCAGUGAAAUGCGUAGAUAUCGAGAGGAACACCAGUGGCGAAGGCGAGUCCCUGGACAACUCCUGACGCUGAGGCACGAAAGCUAGGGGAGCAAACAGG
rnacentral:rRNA from 1 species